rnacentral:rRNA from 1 species
UGCAGUCGAGCGAACGGACGAGAAGCUUGCUUCUCUGAUGUUAGCGGCGGACGGGUGAGUAACACGUGGAUAACCUACCUAUAAGACUGGGAUAACUUCGGGAAACCGGAGCUAAUACCGGAUAAUAUUUUGAACCGCAGGGUUCAAAAGUGAAAGACGGUCUUGCUGUCACUUAUAGAUGGAUCCGCGCUGCAUUAGCUAGUUGGUAAGGUAACGGCUUACCAAGGCAACGAUGCAUAGCCAACCUGAGAGGGUGAUCGGCCACACUGGAACUGAGACACGGUCCAGACUCCUACGGGAGGCAGCAGUAGGGAAUCUUCCGCAAUGGGCGAAAGCCUGACGGAGCAACGCCGCGUGAGUGAUGAAGGUCUUCGGAUCGUAAAACUCUGUUAUUAGGGAAGAACAUAUGUGUAAGUAACUGUGCACAUCUUGACGGUACCUAAUCANAAAGCCACGGCUAACUACGUGCCA